CCGAUGUAGAAACUUAUCAUGAACAUAGCAUAGCCGAUACCUGAAAUUGUGAUGAUUCAUGAGUAAAAUUAGCAGAAAUGCUGUGAUCUCAGCCAACCACAUUAUAAACUUAAUACUUACUUAUCAAUAACAAAAAUUGCCUUCAUACAACAUUAAAAUAGCGUGAUGAAAUAUUUCAAGCUAAACAAUUUUUAUUAGAUUGAUGUAUCUUUCAUGUACACCUCCAUAUAAAUUGGCUUAUAUCCACGUAACAUUCACAUUACUUUAUCAUAUUUUUAGAAAAAUAUUUUUGGCUUUUUUCAUACAGAACUCCGUAAAUAGGAAAAAAAAGUAAUACAUUUAAAUAGAUACAAAUUUCCCGCUGAAAGACGUCACCGUAAACACUUGGCGCCACAGUGUCUUCAAACGUGUAAGAAGGGAAAAGUGUACUUCCGUGUGUAAUUACUCGUGUUCUGCAUAUUACAAGGAUGUGCUCCUCUUCAAUGUGUCCACUACUGUCUGCUGUGCUUUCUCACCAUAUAACCAAGGGGAACGUGCCAGACAGAGAAAUCACGCGGGAACACACCCGUCUCUGGCAGUACCACUUGGCAGUACCUUAGCAGUGGACACGUGAAGACAACAUUGCGAAGCGGCUCUGCGUGACCUCGUAGUGGAAGUCCGUAGCAUCAGUCAGGCAGUCAAUCAGUCAGUCAGAAUUAGCAAGUGUUCAUCUUCUGAUCAAAGUAAGUAAGUUAUUCACCCAUCACCGACCAAAACGAAUAGGAAAAUCACCAUAUUCGACCAAGACAAGCAGGAAAAUGACCUUAUUCGACCAAAACAAGCACAAAAAUCAUCACAUUCGACCAAAACAAACAGAAAAAUCACCAUAUUCAACCAAAACAAGCAGAAAAAUCACCAUAUUCGACCAAAACAAGCAGAAAAAUCACAUGUUCGACCAAAACAAGCAGAAAAAUCACAUAUUCGACCAAGACAAGCAGGAAAAUCACCCACUCACCUUCAGACUUUCAAACGACCGGGAAUGCACUGACGAAGAAAGAACCUCAACAUGGGAACUUGGUCUACUGAACACCUCUUUACCGAACAGUAAGUGACGACCGUUUUCUACCAUUUAAAUAUAAACCCACGAAGUAAAGUGGGUCACCUCUGUAUUGGCUAGGGCGGCAGGUGAAGGACCGCUAAUGACAGGAGUAGCGGGUGUUAUACUCGUAUUUAGACCUACGUACGUGUGUAGGCCUAAGAUAGAUGCCAGGUGGUUAUUCACUGUUCCCUCGUAAUUCUGCCUGGCGCUACAUGACCUUGUUUUUGGGUAGGCUUAGUUUUAUUAGUGCUUUUCUGCUCCCUUAGUGGUUGUUAACUCAUUCAAUGCUCUGCUCACCAUCUCUUAGCCUUCAGAGUACCGUGAGAAUGGGUACACCAAUAUAUAGAGAGAGAGAAUUGGAGGUUAUAUUUUUCUCUUCUCGUUUGUAAAUCUAUUUAAAGAAACUGGAUCAUAAGAAUAAGUGUCCAUAAAAGUUGUAAUUAUGGAGAAACAUUAUCUGGUAAGCAAAGGGUUAAGAAACUAAUUAUAGAAUGCAUACAUGGCUAGUUAAUUGCUGUAGUUAGGUUACUUAGUUUUAAUGACCAAAAUACAUACAUGGUCAGUUAGUCAGUGUGUUUAGUUUUUUCAUUGACCAAAAUAAUAAAGGUAUACACAACAGUACAGUAAAUAUAUACAAAAAUCUUUACUGUUAAAAGAAUUAUACUUUCAACACGUUCUUGUCGUACAUACAUACAUGCACGAGGAAAAAUGAUACUGCGUUGCACAUGAAUCAGGAUAGAAGACUUGCUUGGGUAAAUUCAAGGAAAACAUCAUGAUAAAUAUUAAGGAAAGCUCUGGAUUCCACAAGCAUCAGGCGUGAAAUACAAGUACAUAUUAGAUUACCCUAUUUGAAUGGGAAAAUACUAGGUUGGAAAGAUGUCAGGGGGAAAAAGAAGUAGGUUGGGAAAAUUAUCAGGGAAAGAAAGAGGUUAAAGAAGUGCGAAGGGGGAAAAAAAUAGUCCAGAGUGGAUGAUUGUCAGAGAAAGUAUUAGGUUAGAUUGGAAAGAUGUCAAGGAAAAAAUCUAAGUCUGGAAAAAAAGUAUCAGGGAAAGUAUGACGUUAAAGAAGUGCCAAGUAAAAAAAAUAAAAUAAAAAAACUCUAGAUCGGAUAACUGUCAGAGAAAAUAUUAGAUUGGACUGGAAAAAAAUAUCAAGGCGAAAAAAAUACUAAUCUGGAAAAGUAUCGAGGAAAAUAAGAUGUCAGAAAACUGCAAGGAAAAAAAAAAAGUCAAGAUUGGAUAAUUGUCAGGUUACCUGAACGUGAGACUUCCUACCGCUUCUCUUGUGUUCACCAUUUACUGACAGAGACUAGCCUUAGGAAACACGAGAGGAAAAAGAGCUUACGUUUGGAUGAUUGUCAAGGAGAAUGUUAGAUCAGAUACUUGACUUAGGAACAUAUUCUGAAAAGGCUCUAGUUGAAGUGACAUGGGUUUUUAAGUG